ensembl:lncRNA
GGGGGAAAAAAAGGGGAGAAACACACCGAUAUGAAACGUGUAUCAAUAUAUAGGUUUAUUGUGAUUCGGAUAUUUGUUUUGUAAAAACAUGACGCAACAUUUGCUGUACAGAAUAAUGAGUUCACAGUUUGAUACAGAAUGAUCAGAAGACGCACACUCCCGUUUGAAUUGACAACCCCACAUACAAUACAAAGAUAGAGUUGAAUACAGAUUCACAACCUUAUAUAUAUAUAUAUAUAUAUAUAAAAAAAAAAUGUUUUUUUAUAUAAUUCAUUGAUAAAAAAAAAAAAUUAAAAAUGUUUUAAAAAAAAAUUAUUUAUCAUCAUGCUUUAUAAAAUGCCUUUAAUUGCCCAUUUCAGUCUAAUAAUCAUUUAUAAAAUAUAUUACAACAAUUCAUCAUCAUAUUACAUCUGCAUAGUUAAAAAACCAACGCAAACCAAACGUGUGUGUGUGUGUAUAUAUAAUCCUGCUAUUAAAUGGAAAAAGCCAGAUUACAUUAAUCCCAAAACAGUGAUAUUGGGUCAGUCUGAUGUUUCCCUCUCCUCGGGGUUAAAGGUUAAGGACUGUGGGAUGCUAAAACUGACCCCAGAUCUGUGACUGUUUCCCUCUCCUCAGGGUUAAAGGUUAAGGACUGUGAGAUGCUAAAACUGACCCCAGAUCUGUGACUGUUUCCCUCUCCUCAGGGUUAAUGGUUAAGGACUGUGGGAUGGUAAAACUGAUCCCAGAUCUGUGACUGUUUCCCUCUCCUCAGGGUUAAUGGUUAAGGACUGACCCCAGAUCUGUGACUGUUUCUCUCUCCUCAGGGUUAAUGGUUAAGGACUGUGGGAUGGUAAAACUGACCACAGAACUGUGACUUGUAACUUGAACUGAGUUUAAUAAUGUUUCAAUCAAUACAUCAUCGCAUCAUUCAACCAACCAACAAAUGAUUGAUUGAAUAAUGAAUGGAUUUGAAUGAGAAUGUGCUGAUUGUCUGGUUCUGUGAAUGGUUUUAAAGUGCUCUCUAGUUUUCUUUACUCUGCAGGCUCACUAGUCUCCUCUGGGCUCCUCUAGCCUCCUCUAGCCCCCUCUGGCCCCUAGCCCCCUCUAGCCUCCUCUAGCCCCUAGCCCCCUCUGGGCUCCUCUAGCCCCUAGCCCCCCCUAGUCUCCUCUAGUCUCCCCUGGUCCCCUCUAGCCCCCUCUGGUCUCACUAUAUAGACUAUGUACAAUACAGGCCACCAGAAGGUAACUUUCAUAAGCAGUACGUUUAUAUGGCUGCGUUUACACAGGCAGCCCAAUUCUGAUCUUUCUUUUUUUCUCCCAACUAAAGCUGCGUUUACACAGGCAGCCCAAUUCUGAUCUUUCGCCCAAUUAUUGGCCAAAGAGCAGAUCUGAUUGGUCAAAAGACAAAUUAGAGGGGGGAUAAAGAUCAGAAUUGGGCUGCCUGUGUAAACGGAGGACAGACGAUCUACCAACAACACAUCCCUGUUUGACACCUGGGCUUUACCCUCUGAAUAUUAAAACCACGUCAUACAAUAACAAAACUAUCAGACAAUCACAUCAUACAAUACCAAAUAUAAAAUCACUGUUGUUGACACACACACACACACUCACUCACAGGAUAGUGGAACUAUGCCAGUCACUGCUGAUAGCUAGUGUUAGAUGGAGAGAGUCAGUGAGAUGUUGUGAUGUCAUCACACAGACAGGAUGUGAGGGGGCAUCAAACCUGCCAAGAUGGCCACCCAUUGGGGUUUGAGUGUUGUUGUUGAGUUUUGUAAAACAGGAAGUCACCAAACCUGCCAAGAUGGCCACCCAUUGGGGUUUGAGUCUUGUUGUUGAGUUUUGUAAAACAGGAAGUCACCAAACCUGCCAAGAUGGCCACCCAUUGGGGUUUGAGUCUUGUUGUUGUUGAGUUUUGUAAAACAGGAAGUCACCAAACCUGCCAAGAUGGCCACCCAUUGGGGUUUGAGUCUUGUUGUUGAGUUUUGUAAAACAGGAAGUCACCAAACCUGCCAAGAUGGCCACCCAUUGGGGUUUGAGUCUUGUUGUUGUUGAGUUUUGUAAAACAGGAAGUCACCAAACCUGCCAAGAUGGCCACCCAUUGGGGUUUGAGUCUUGUUGUUGAGUUUUGUAAAACAGG